AGUAUAAGAACACACUUUAUUCUUUGGGAUUAGGUCAUAAUUGGUAAAUUCUAUGGAGUUCUGAGGAAAGUUGAGACACUGCCACCCAGAGGUGAUCUAGUUCCAUUUGACUAGCAAAUCUGAGGGUGAUGAUGCUGUGCUCAGCAGAUCAACAUGAUAAAGCUGCUUAUCCUUGAUUCAGAGCUUUAAAAAUUGUGACUUCCCGUUCUUACCCUCUCACUAACCCUUUCUUCAAAACAAGAAUUUUUUUUAAAAGAAACUAUCAUACAUCCUACUUAAUCUAUCUUCUUGUUGUCACAUUGAUCAACAUAUGCUCCAGUAAUGUAGCAGUUGAAUUUCAACUUCACAGGGUAUGAAGGAAUCUCUGAAAUAAGCCCAUGAUCUCAGUAAGUCCCCACAUCUGUCUAGCAUAAAAGCUGGCUGGAGAGACCCAGACAAGGGUGUGAAGCCAAGAGUGUUCAUCAAUUCAACUGAGUUGCCUUAUGAUCAGCCCUCACAACCCCCGUGAUUAGCAAAGCCCCAGGAAGGUCAAGCAACCCCAAAGAGUCUGGAAACUUCAACAAAAUUUUGCCUUCUUUUGGCUGAGUAGAAACAGUUUAUGAGCCAGGCUGAUUAUGAGCAGCUGCCCAGGUACUGUGAUUUGAUAGAAGGCUAGACAGGAAUCGUACCUCCAGACUAAAAAUAUCUGCCUUCUUACCAUGGCAACCCCUUUCUAUUGGAUUUUGGCUCAUUUACUUAAAUUGAGAGCACAGCUUCAUAGACAGAACACAAUCCACAGACUCAGAAUCCCCUGAUGGCAAAAAAAAAAACAAAAAACAAAAAACAAAAAAAACAACCUUAUAAUGUAAAGAUAUGUGUUUGAGAGAAAGAUUGUUGGUAGAUUUCUAAGCCCCUAAUGUUAUACAUUGUAUUGUAUGAAUAAAAUCAAAUAUGGUA